rnacentral:rRNA from 1 species
AUGCAGGAGAUGGAGACCCGGAAGGCAAACGCCAAGUUUGUAUCCAGCAUCGCCACCCAAGAAAAAUUGAAGACCGAGUUUGAUGCUGAGAGAAAGGCCUGGGUCGAAGAGAAGGCCGCACUGGUGACCCGGGCGGAACAGGCGGAGAAGGCUCUCGCUGAGAAGACCGCCGAGCUCUCCGGCCUAAAGCGCCAGGUUUCCCAAAUGGUGGCCGCUAUCUUUGGUCCCAGGAGUGCCAACCUCAACCAGAGCGUGGUCACCAGGUUAAAGGCCGUGUACACCCUGGUGGAACAGCUCUACACCGGGUCAUAG